rnacentral:rRNA from 1 species
UAUCUCUGUAGAGUCUGCAUAUCAAUAAGCGGAGGAAAAGAAACUAACAAGGAUUCCCCUAGUAACGGCGAGUGAAGCGGGAAGAGCUCAAAUUUGAAAUCUUCAAGGUUUGACCUUGACGAAUUGUAGUUUAAAGAAGUGUUUUCGGUUAGAGGAGUAGUAAAAGUUCUUUGGAAUAGGACAUCAUAGAGGGUGAGAAUCCCGUAUUUGACUAUUCUUUCUAGCUUUGUGAUACACUUUCAAAGAGUCGGAUUGUUUGGGAAUGCAGUCCAAAAUGGGUGGUAAAUUUCAUCUAAAGCUAAAUAUUGGCGAGAGACCGAUAGCGAACAAGUACCGUGAGGGAAAGAUGAAAAGAACUUUGAAAAGAGAGUUAAACAGUACGUGAAAUUGUCAAAAGGGAAGCGUUUGACACCAGUGUUGUUUUUCCGAAAAUCAAUUAAAAAUUGAUUCAUGCCAGGUUGUAUUGACCUUAUCAGCUUGCAAUUUGGUUUUGGGUCUCUUUUUGAUGCACUUUUCGGUUAACAAGUCAACAUCAAUUUCCUUUGCUGUAAAAAGGUAAGAGGAAGGUGGCUUCAAUUUCGGUUGAAGUGUUUAUAGCCUUUUAUCUCUGCAGUCGGGGAGAUUGAGGUCUGCAGCGUAGAUCCUUCGGGGCUAGAUACAUUUAUGCUAAGUUAUAGCUUUUCAUAGACAACUUGUUGACUAUGUUUAGUCAUGUAGCUUACUCGUAAGUGCUAUUUUACCUACGCUUAGGAUGUUGAAGACUCUACAGAGAU